rnacentral:rRNA from 1 species
GAUGAACGCUGGCGGCGUGCUUAACACAUGCAAGUCGAACGGUGAAGGCGGAGCUUGCUCUGCUGGAUCAGUGGCGAACGGGUGAGUAACACGUGAGCAAUCUGCCCCUGACUCUGGGAUAAGCGCUGGAAACGGCGUCUAAUACUGGAUACGAGCUGCGAAGGCAUCUUCAGCAGCUGGAAAGAAUUUCGGUCAGGGAUGAGCUCGCGGCCUAUCAGCUUGUUGGUGAGGUAAUGGCUCACCAAGGCGUCGACGGGUAGCCGGCCUGAGAGGGUGACCGGCCACACUGGGACUGAGACACGGCCCAGACUCCUACGAGAGGCAGCAGUGGGGAAUAUUGCACAAUGGGCGAAAGCCUGAUGCAGCAACGCCGCGUGAGGGACGACGGCCUUCGGGUUGUAAACCUCUUUUAGCAGGGAAGAAGCGAAAGUGACGGUACCUGCAGAAAAAGCGCCGGCUAACUACGUG